CUUUGCAAAAAAUUACUUCACGCUGCGUCUCCUUUGCUGUGUGUCUCUUGCUUAAAUCCUUUUAAACUAAGACCAGACCCAAGGUCUCACAACUUCCAUCACUAUCAUCACUUUCAAGCAAAAAUAAUACAGCAGCCUCCUCUGUUCCAGUGUGGGUGAAUCGUGUAAGAAGAUCUGAUGUGUGAAUGCUCUGUGGAUGGGGGGGGACCAAUGAUCUGGGCUCAUUCAAGAACAUACCACACCACGUGGGUGUCCACGGACUGCCCUGCUCAUUCCGCGUGGCAAAGUGUUUGGUGCCACUAGUCAUCAUGCUGUAGUCACUACCAACACCCCCUCUUCCGUGCUGGAGGUGUUGGCGUUAUUUGGGGAGUCCUGGUGACUCCCCUAAGGUCAUGUAGCACCGGAAGUGCAGCCAGAUGACUCUGACGCAGGAGCCCCUCACCACUGCGUCCCAAGGGGCUUCACAUCAGCCACUGGUUUCAAGACCGCAGUUCAGAUUCUCCCUUUGCCACAAUGGGUGGACAAAAACUAUGGAGAUUGAUUUGUGAUUGUCAGGCUUUUGGGCCCUGAGUCUUCCAAGUUUUCUUUUUGCCAAUUAUCAUGCUCUAGUAAAGCCACACAAUUUGUUCAAAAGCACAUUUUCUAGUCUGGGGAAUUUGGAGAUCUAUGUGAUAUGGAAUUGCUCUAAGUCAAGGAUAACCAGGGACUCAGUAGAGGACUAUAAAAAGGAGAAGAAAACCUUACACUGAAUAAAAAGAGUAACAGAAAAUACAAUCACCCUGCGACCAGAUGUCAAGCACUCUCGAAAGCAGAGCUCACGGUGCCCGGCGGCUCCAGUGUGCACGUCUCUGUCCUGGGGAGCCGCCAUUAUUCUCUGGAUGGCUCCUCAUGGCUGGCAAACAUGGUGUUUCCCACUCUCCUCUGGUUCUGUCAUGGGGUCUACCACACUGGGGUGUCUCCCCAAGUCACCACUCUUGGAGGGCCGGGCUUCGUGCAGUGGUUAGAUGCAAAGGUCCCGUGGGCUCAUCCUGCUUCCAUCUGCCCAGACUUAGCAGUCCUGUGCUCUCAGGCAGGGCCUUCACCUCUGAAGCCCCCUCUUCCUGUUUGUAAUAGAAAAUCCUUGUCACUAAGUCAUUACAUAAUCAGGUUCAUGUGAACAUUAAUGGGCUGUUGCAUGAGAAACGCUUACGAUGUUGCCUAAACAUUUGCUAGUGAAAGAGGGGGCAGUCCCCUCAGCACUAAAACAACACUGUGCCUCCCAGGACACCCAUUCCACAACUGACAAACACAACCCUGCACCAACUGGGGUAGGGAGUGGAAAGACACAAGUGGCUUAGGGAGCUGGGGCUCAGUUCUCCGGCAGGACUCGUGCUUCCCCUUAGAUCACACAGAUGUAAACCUGGGGAGACUUUCCAAAUUUCCUUGCCGGCAGAUUGUGGAUGGCAAUAAGAACCCAUGAAUGAGAUGCACUGCAUGGCAUGUGGAAGGCGGAUGAAAGUAGAAGCCCCCUCUGUCUUCCUGCAGCACAGGAAGCAGGUGACCUGAGCAGGUGGGGCUUUCAGCAGGUGACCUGUACAGGUGCGGCUUUCAGCAGGUGACCUGAGCAGGUGCGGCUUUCAGCAGGUGACCUGAGCAGGUGGGGCUUUCAGCAGGUGACCUGUACAGGUGCGGCUUUCAGCAGGUGACCUGAGCAGGUGCAGCUGUCAGCAGGUGACCUGAGCAGGUGCGGCUGUCAGCAGGUGACCUGAGCAGGUGCGGCUUUCAGCAGGUGACCUGAGCAGGUGCGGCUUUCAGCAGGUGACCUGAGCAGGUGUGGCUUUCAGCAGGUAGGCCUGAGCAGGUGUGGCUUUCAGCAGAGAUCCUACCCUCAGCACUAUGUGUGGAAUGUAGGAAUCCUUUCCAAAAAUGUUGAACUGAUUUCAUUAGACAAAUAGAAAUCGAAGCAAACUCAACAGGACAGGACAUUGAGAAGUACACAAAGUCAUUCAAGUGCAGGAGGGGCCUGUCCUGGAUGAAGACAGAGCUGCAUCCAUGUUUUCAUUGAGUCAGAAGAAAUGGAAGAAAGUUGCAGGUUGAUUUUGUUCUAGGCCAGUGCUGUAAGGAAAUCCAUGUUGGAUAGGCAGGAACAGGAGGGUGGGGGUGCAAGGCGAAGAUUCCAGGCAGUAGGUGAUCACUGGGGUCUUCGGUGUGCAAUGUGAUCUGAGGAUCGUGGAAUCGUGCUGGCUUUCAGAACAGAUGAGAAGCCGGGAGGAGCCUGUGCAGAAGAGGAAGAUCUAUCUGGAAAAAGCAGCUAAACAAGCACUGGCCAAGAGAUAAGCAAUGUUGAAGGAACUGCAGCUUACCAAUCAUGAAACGUGGACUGACCGCCUGCUCCACCAGCCAUAACUAUAGCUUUGAUUGACAAGGGGCUGAUUUCAAUACCUGUCUCCUGUUGAGGUCACCGACCAUGGACUGGUUCUGGCUGGUUUACAGCAGCUGUGCACCGAGUGCCUGUGUCCCUACUUCACACUGUGACAUAUAAGGCUUAAUUGUCAUGCAUUUGAAUGUUAAGUCUCCACCUCAGAGUAAAUAUGGGUCAUAUGUAAUAUGCAUGUUUGUUCAAUGGGUCAGGACACCUUCAUGAAUAUUCAUCGCUCCUCCUAUAAUCUGUUGAAUAUGUAUGUUGAGCCAACCCCUUCAGCAUAAGUUCCUGUCUCACCUUUUCUCCUUUGAAAUGCCUGCUAAAGGUCCCUGCCAGAGGCUAUACUUCCCAGCCUGUCAGAAGGAGCACCUCGUAGGCUGUAACCCUCUGUAAGAAAUAAAGUUGGCUUUCAAAAUUUAUAGACCUUAUCAUUUUUAAGUUGAAAGGCAUGUGGCACAAGCACGGUUGGGGGAACUCAUAUGAGACAAAAUUCUGAG
rnacentral:lncRNA from 1 species